rnacentral:rRNA from 1 species
CCUACGGGGGGCUGCAGUGGGGAAUAUUGGACAAUGGGGGGAACCCUGAUCCAGCCAUGCCGCGUGUGUGAAGAAGGCCCUCGGGUUGUAAAGCACUUUCAGUGAGGAAGAACGCCUGGUGGUUAAUACCCAUCAGGAAAGACAUCACUCACAGAAGAAGCACCGGCUAACUCCGUGCCAGCAGCCGCAGGUAAUACGGAGGGUGCGAGCGUUAAUCGGAAUUACUGGGCGUAAAGCGCGCGUAGGUGGCUUGAUAAGCCGGUUGUGAAAGCCCCGGGCUCAACCUGGGAACGGCAUCCGGAACUGUCAAGCUAGAGUGCAGGAGAGGAAGGUAGAAUUCCCGGUGUAGCGGUGAAAUGCGUAGAGAUCGGGAGGAAUACCAGUGGCGAAGGCGGCCUUCUGGACUGACACUGACACUGAGGUGCGAAAGCGUGGGUAGCAAACAGGAUUAGAUACCCGGGUAGUC